rnacentral:misc_RNA from 1 species
GGGGAUUUGAUUCUUUUGGUGGAAACGUGGGGUUACUGAAUUUUUUCAGUAUGUGUUUGACUUUAGCUGUUAUCGAACAAAGGAGAAUAUUCUGUUCUUUAUGAAGGAAUAGGAGUGAGAUUCGAGUUAAGAGAAGGAAAUUAUGUAUCGGCCUGUAGCAACUACUACCCGAGGAGGGGUACCAACUGAUAGUGGAGAUUCUGUGGUGACACUGGAUCAAGUUCCACGUUGGAUUGAUUCUGACAUUAGGUACUUGUAUGAGAAUGAAGACCCUAAUUCCGACUAUGCAGAUCCUUUGUCAUCUGCUUCAGGGUCUGAGGGCAAUGCGAAUGGUAUUGUUUCCAAGUUUCCUGUGGAUCAUGAGAUUAACUCCAAGAUAUACCUGUGGAGAGGAGACCCCUGGAAUCUCGAGGUAGAUGCUGUUGUUAACUCUACAAAUGAGAAUUUAGAUGAAGCACACAGCAGCCCUGGAUUGCAUGCUGCAGCUGGACCUGGACUUGCAGAGGAAUGUGCUACACUCGGAGGAUGCCGGACAGGAAUGGCAAAAGUUACCAAUGCUUAUGAUCUCCCUGCUAGGAGGGUCAUUCACACUGUUGGUCCGAAGUAUGCGGUAAAAUACCACACUGCUGCCGAGAACGCUCUAAGUCAUUGCUAUCGCUCUUGCCUUGAACUUCUUAUAGAAAAUGGAUUACAGAGCAUUGCGAUGGGCUGUAUCUAUACCGAAGCCAAAAAUUACCCGCGAGAACCUGCUGCUCAUGUUGCAAUAAGAACUGUACGGCGGUUUCUUGAGAAACAGAAAGAUAAAAUAGAGGCAGUCGUUUUCUGUACAACUACAUCAUCCGAUACGGAGAUAUAUAAAAGAUUGCUUCCUCUUUACUUCCCCCGGGAUAAUCAUGAGGAAGAAAUUGCCCGGUUAAAACUUCCUGCAGAUGUUGGGGAUGAGAAUGGAGAGACAACUACUGCUGAGCGUAAAAUAAGAAUAAAACCAUUGCCAAAUUCAAAAGUUUCUAGUCCAAGGACCCCCCAAGCAUCUGUUGAUCUAUCUGUCAGUAAUCUUGGUUUGUCCAGAAGGAGUUCAUCCUACUUGGAUGCAUUUCUGGAUCCUGCUUUUAUGUCCCUGAUCAAAGACCCAGAUCAGCGACGUAAAGAACAAUGGGAAAAAACAGCCCAAGCGCAAAAUAAUUGGAACUGCUUCAAAAUGCUUGGAUAUGGUGACCUUGGGGGACCUGCUUUAUCAGCUGCAGAAGAAUAUACCCUUCAUUCUAGAUAUCUUGCAAAAGCGAAUUCUAUGAAUCUUUCAGAAAUUGCGGAAAUGAAAAUCGUUUACCGAGGAGGGGUUGAUAGUGAGGGUCGUCCAGUUAUGGUAGUCGUGGGAGCACAUUUCCUGCUAAGAUGUCUUGAUCUUGAGAGAUUUACCCUGUACGUUGUAAAGGAGUUCGAGCCUGUGAUUCAGAAGCCUUACUCAAUAGUGUAUUUACAUUCUGCAGCGUCUUUACAGAUGCAACCAGAUUUAGGCUGGAUGAAGAGAUUACAACAAAUACUUGGACGGAAACACCAGCGUAACCUUCAUGCAAUAUACGUGCUUCACCCUACCUUUGGACUGAAGUCUGCAAUUUUUGCUUUGCAACUCUUCGUCGAUAAUGUGGUGUGGAAAAAAGUAGUAUAUCUUGAUCGUCUUCUACAGCUAUUCCGCUAUGUUCCUCGUGAACAGUUAACUAUUCCUGACUUUGUAUUCCAGCAUGAUUUGGAAGUGAAUGGAGGGAAGGGCCUAAUCGUUGAUCCGAGAACAAAAUAUGUUUAUCAGAGACCUUAGUGUCCAUAUCCAUGAGCUAAAAGAUUCAUCAGUUAAACCAGCUAUGGAGCAAAUUGUGAGAUAAUGAAGCUGGGUUAUCUCUUGUUAAUUUCUCUGUUGUUUGUAAAAUUUUAUUUGUUGAUUAAUUUGUGCAGACAAUGUUGUCUUGCCUCCUGUGGCAAUAAAAUGACCCCCUCCCCUAUCGUUUUCCAUGUAAUGAAUGUAUAUUUUAUUUAGAAUUU